rnacentral:rRNA from 1 species
GAUGAACGCUGGCGGUAUGCUUAACACAUGCAAGUCGAACGGACUCUUCGGAGUUAGUGGCGGACGGGUGAGUAACGCGUGAGAAUCUGGCUUUGGGUUCGGGACAACCACUGGAAACGGUGGCUAAUACCGGAUGUGCCGAGAGGUAAAAGAGAAAUUGCCUGAAGAUGAGCUCGCGUCUGAUUAGCUAGUUGGUGAGGUAAAGGCUCACCAAGGCAGCGAUCAGUAGCUGGUCUGAGAGGAUGACCAGCCACACUGGGACUGAGACACGGCCCAGACUCCUACGGGAGGCAGCAGUGGGGAAUUUUCCGCAAUGGGCGAAAGCCUGACGGAGCAAUACCGCGUGAGGGAAGAAGGCUCUUGGGUUGUAAACCUCUUUUCUUAGGGAAGAACAAAAUGACGGUAACUAAGGAAUCAGCAUCGGCUAACUCCGUG